AAAAAAAUGCAUCGAAAUAGCAUGAAAACAGGAAAUUUUGGUCAAUUUCAUCUUCAGCUUAGUUUAAUCCAAGACUUGCAAAAAUAUAAAACAAAAAAAGAAUAAGUUUUGGCCUCAACUACGAUACAAAAGUUGAAUUUAACUAAAUUGAACACAUUACUGCAAACUUGAAUCGCCAAGAGAUGCAAAUUUUGUCAUUCAAAAACAUAAUUUCCCUCCUUUUCACCACAUUUUCUGAGAAUCCAAACAAGGGGUUAAACACAAUUAAACUAGGGAAUUGCCAGACGUUACUUUCUGUAGAAAUAAAACAAUAUUUCGAAAAUAAUUCAAAAGCAAAAUUCUUUUAAGAAUUCAAAAAAAUCCAUUACUAAAGCGGAGAUACCUAACAAUGAAGAAGCAGAAGCCA
rnacentral:misc_RNA from 1 species